UAGGUGGGUCUUUGAGAAACAAAGAAGUGC
rnacentral:piRNA from 1 species